UUCCAGCUGAUGAGUCCCAAAUAGGACAAAACGUGCGUCCAGGAU
rnacentral:hammerhead_ribozyme from 1 species